CCUACGGGAGGCUGCAGUAGGGAAUCUUCCACAAUGGGCGAAAGCCUGAUGGAGCAACGCCGCGUGGGUGAAGAAGGUCUUCGGAUCGUAAAACCCUGUUGUUAGAGAAGAAAGUGCGUGAGAGUAACUGUUCACGUUUCGACGGUAUCUAACCAGAAAGCCACGGCUAACUACGUGCCAGCAGCCGCGGUCAUACGUAGGUGGCAAGCGUUAUCCGGAUUUAUUGGGCGUAAAGGGAGCGAAGGCGGUCUUUUAUGUCUGAUGUGAAAGCCUUCGGCUUAACCGGUGGAGUGCAUUGGAAACGGAGAGACGUGAGCACAGAAGAGGAGUG
rnacentral:rRNA from 1 species